UCUCCGUUGGUGAACCAGCGGAGGGAUCAUUACAGGAUUCGCAAGUCUCCCGUAAACCCCUGUGAACAUACCUAUACUCGUUGCCUCGGCGGGUGCUCCGGUGCGAACCGGGGCGCCAGCCCGCCGGCGGCUCGCUACUCUGUCUCGCGCGUUGGCAUCUCCGAGUACAUACAAAUAAGUUAAAACUUUCAACAACGGAUCUCUUGGUUCUGGCAUCGAUGAAGAACGCAGC
rnacentral:misc_RNA from 1 species